CCUACGGGUGGCAGCAGUGGGGAAUAUUGGGCAAUGGGCGCAAGCCUGACCCAGCAACGCCGCGUGAAGGAAGAAGGCUCUCGGGUUGUAAACUUCUUUUCUCAGGGACGAAGCAAGUGACGGUACCUGAGGAAUAAGCCACGGCUAACUACGUGCCAGCAGCCACGGUAAUACGUAGGUGGCAAGCGUUAUCCGGAUGUACUUGGUGUAAAGGGCGUGUAGGCGGGACUGCAAGUCAGAUGUGAAAACCACGGGCUCAACCUGUGGCCUGCAUUUGAAACUGUAGGUCUUGAGUACUGGAGAGGCAGACGGAAUUCGUAGUGUAGCGGUGAAAUGCGUAGAUAUUAGGAGGAACACCAGUGGCGAAGGCAGUCUGCUGGACAGCAACUGACGCUGAGGCGCGAAAGCGUGGGGAGCAAACAGGAUUAGAUACCCUUGUAGUC
rnacentral:rRNA from 1 species